AGGGAUAUGGUGUCAAUGGUAGCAUGCCGGUCUCCAAAACCGUUGGUACGAGUUCAAAUCUUGUUAUCCCUGCCA
rnacentral:tRNA from 1 species